CCCCAAAAUACCUUAUCCAGGAGGAUCCUCUUGAUGGGACUGUCCAUAUCGGCAGACUGUGAUAUGGCCAUUCCUUGGAGAGACUCCUUCCCCUCCAGGAGACUGCCAACAUGAUGACAAACACCACCCCAAGGGGUUGCUGGGCAGCUUCAAUGUGGUUCUCUUUUAUUCUUCUCACAUACCUUUUGGUCCAAGAUCAUUGAUGACUGCCUUCAGCCAUCUGCAAUGUCAGUCUGGUGUGGUCUGUUGUCCCUGUGUUCUGGCUCUUGUAGAAUACUGGUUGAGGGGUGGAGAUGAUGUAGUUAAUUAUUCCUUGCCACGAACACUACAGGGACAUCUCCAUGGAUUUCAUAGAGGGGGACAUCUCCAUGGUUUUCACUACAGAAGGACAUCUCCAUGGUCUUCAUUACGAAGGACAUCUCCAUGGUCUUCAUUACGAGGGACAUCUCCAUGGUCUUUUCAUUAGAGGGGGACAUCUCCCAUGGUCUUCACUACAGAAGGACAUCUCCAUGGUCUUUUACACACUACAGAAGGACAUCUCCAUGGUCUUUUCACUACAGAAGGACAUCUCCAUGGUAUUUUUCAUUACAGAGGGACAUCUCCAUGGUAUUUUCAUUAGAGGGGGACAUCUCCAUGGUCUUUUCAUUACAGAAGGACAUAUCCAUGGUAUUUUCAUUACAGAGGGACAUCUCUCCAUGGUCUUUUCACGCGAGGGACAUCUCCAUGGUCUUUUCAUUAACGAGGACAUCUCCAUGGUCUUCACUACAGAAGACAUCUCCAUGGUCUUUUUCAUUCAGAAGGACAUCUCCAUGGUCUUUCAUUACAGAAGGACAUCUCCAUGGCUUUUCAUUACAGAGGGACAUCGCCCAUGGUCUUUCAUUACAGAGGGACACUCCAUGGUCUUUUCAUUACAGAAGGACAUCCCAUGGAUAAACUGAAACAAUACAGUCAGAGAAGAGAACAAGGACAAUGAAGGGGGGAGAGGAAAAAGUCAACUUGCAGAGGGUAGUUUCUGUGAGUCGGGAUAUUGGUGUGGAGAAUGAUGAAUGGUGGUCAGUAUGGGAGAGAGUAUGUACGGGUGAGAGACAGACAGACAGGAGAGGUAAGAGCGAGAGAGCAGUGGUGUUGACAGAAGUGAGGUUGUGUAUUGUCUGUGCGUGGCCCAUGUGAGGUUGAGGUAGAGCGAUGUCCAAUCUCGUUGUUGAGCAACAUUUGGACUGGGUCAGGAAGCAGUGAAGGAGAGGAGAAGGAAACAGGGAGAAGAAGGAAACAAGCGAGAGAGACGCCCUUCUCCCCCAUUCUUCUUACAUAACCAUGUGCAUUCUCCCUCUUUCUCUCUCUCUCUCCCUGAAUGAUAAAUCAUCAACAAGUGGGCUCCGAGAGCGAUGUUCCCAGGGACUCAAGUAUGUGACCCUGGAAACUCAAGUUGGGGGAUUCUUAACUGAAGCAGAAAACAUUUCCUAUCGUGUAGUCAAGGGUAAUGAGCUCACGUUAACUGGCCUGCCAGCAUCUUAAUAUACCAGUGUUAUUCUAGGAAUAAUAAUCACAAAUAACAGCUUCAAGCCAAAGGACCAACAUCAAGGUCUAGAGGACAAGGUUUCCAACAAUCAGACACAAGGCUUACAAUCCUAGAGACAAGGUUUUUACAACCUAGAGAGGCAAGGUUUCUUACAAUCCUAGAGAGACAGGUUUCUUACAAUCUCUAGAGACAAUGUUCUUACAACCUAGAGACAAGGUUUCUUACAUUCAUAGAGAGACAAGUGUCUUACAAUCCUUCUAUUAAUGAGAGUGGCUUUUAGAAUGUGGCAUCUUACCAAGAUUCCAGCUGUCCACACAACAGAACUCUGAAAAUAACAGAGGAAAUAUCAGAGGAUGUGACUACUGACUUUUAAGUGGAAAUGUAUCUGUGUGUAUACAGAUCUCUACGUGUCUAUGUGUAUACAGUAUCUCUACGUGUCUGGUGUUGAGUGUAAUCUACCAGUGCAUUGAUCCCGGUUUAAUCUACCAGUGUCAUUGAUCCUGUGU
ensembl:lncRNA